rnacentral:misc_RNA from 1 species
GUAGGUGAACCUGCGGAAGGAUCAUUAUUGAAUCCUUAGGAUGUCGCUGGCCUUUUGCAAAAAGGCAUGUGCACUCCGCCUUUCAAUCCACCUGUGCACCUAUUGUAGGCUUGUUAAAGGAGUAAACUCCUUUAUCCAACCUACGUAUUUUUACACACACUAUUAAAGUAACAGAAUGUAACUUAGUAGAUCUUUAAUGAUCGAAAACCUAAUACAACUUUCAACAACGGAUCUCUUGGUUCUCGCAUCG